rnacentral:rRNA from 1 species
GAUAAUAGCUGUGUGGAACCACCCGAUCCCAUCCCGAACUCGGAAGUGAAACGCAUAUGCGCCGAUGGUAGUGUGGCCUAAGCCAUGCAAGAGUAGGUCAUCGCCAGGG